rnacentral:lncRNA from 1 species
CAACUCAGAUACUCAUAUUGUUCACCAGAUUAGAGAGAAGUAAAGAUGAAUCUUCUCAUAUUUACCAAAUGAUUAUUGGAUAUCACGUUCUAGCAGGCUAGCCAUAUUCUAAGUAAGGUGCCUUUGAGUCCUGGCCCACGCGCAGUGCUCUGACUGACAUGGCUGGCUUCGUGUGUAAGCACAGGAUUACUUUUUUUCUCGUGGUUA